UAGUGUAGAAUCAACUCUGAAUAAGUAUUUAGUAAAAUAAUAUGUCUAAGCUAAGGGAAAUGCUUACAUUUUUCUUUUUCCCCCAGCUUCAGCUGGUUCUCCUGAACCUUGAAUUAUCUUAGGAAAGAUUGUAUUUUCAGGAAUUAAGUCUAUUGGAGACACAGCAGGACUCCACAGCCAGCUAGAUUUGGAUAAAAUGUAGACUGCCUCAAGGCCAGUGUGUUGACUUCUGACCAGUCUCAUCUGAACCCACACCCUUUAACAUAUAUACAAAACACCUGAAGGGUUGGGCUGCCAGCUUUCUUUAGGAUGAUAGAGGGCAGGUUAAGUUUGUUUGACAUAACUAGAAGAGGUGGAGCCUCUUCCUAAUGGAGCAAGGUCCAUUUAUGGCAAACUGUGGUCCCCCACCACUAUCAGCUACUUCUGGAUAGCUUUUGCUUAAAGUUGAUGAGAUAUUGUUUCUUUCACUAGAAGAAAAUGAAUGAGUUGGUGAUCCCAAACUUUGGCCUCCAAAGGAAGCCUGGGCAGGUGACAAAUGUGUCCUAAGCGAGACUGCUGCUUCCAUGCUCAUGCUGGAGGUACAUUUGCCCUGAAAGAUGGAGCAAAAGUGCUGAAGCUUAGCACAGAGGAUUAAUGAAUAAGAACAAGGCUAUGUUAUAUCAUAUUUGUAUAGCAAUCUGGAAAAGAAAGAACGGGGCUUGUUAAGGCAAAUGGGCAAGACAAAACGGGAUAUCUAUAGGCAGCAAGGGGUCCUGCCAGUCUAAGACUAAUGGAAAACUGGCCCAUAGCCAGGUAUUUUCUCAAUGGUGUUCACUACACCAAGUCAGAGGGCUACUUUGUCUAGAUAGAGCCCAGGUAUUGUGAGUGAGUGCAGGAAUAGAAGUGUCUUCCUAAAGGUGUAUGUAUGGUGUUCUCCUGGGAGACUGUAACAGAUGUGCCCUGGGCAAGACCACGCCAGCAGCUGUCAAUGAUGCUGAGCAUACAAAUACCCUGGAGCCCAGGAAUGGGGCUGCCUCCGCCCAGUGUAUCACCUGUGCUCCAGACUGUGUACCCCAGGUCCUCUGCCAGUAGCAUCUCCAAUCACAGGUGAAAUGCCAGCCCUUCAAACAGCACAGGUGGGCCCUAGGUGUCUGAUGGAAGGAAUGAACAGAUAUAUCACGUGGCAUGCAUUUCUUCUCAGUGGUGCAGGUAUCUCCAGCAGGUUUGCUCUGGCCAGGUGGGCCCCAGUACUUAGACCAUAUGCAGGAAGAGAAGACUCUCUAAAAAUAGGUAUGAUGUUGGCCCCUUCCAUUGCAACACACGUGCCCUGGACAGGUGGGAUUCAGGUGUUCUGGCUAUAGGUAGGAACAUAAAGGCAUCCGAGCAUAGAUGCAGUGCUGGUCCCUUAGACUGCAACAGGUGUACUUUAGUUAGGUGUGCCCCAGGUGGCUUGACUGGGGCAGGAAGAGAAGGAUCUCAGCACAGGUAUGGUGCUGGUCCCUUCCACUGGAACACAAGUGCUCUGGCCAAACAGGUCCCAGGUGAUCUGAACAAAAGGGGGAACAGCCAUGUCUUCUGAAACACUCCUUCUCAGUGAUCACAAAUCUUCCAGUAGUAGUAGGCGUGUUUUGGCUGGGCUGGCACCAGGUGCUCUAACUACAGGUGGGAAGGAAAGUGUUUCCCAGGGCAGAUUUGAUUUGCUCUCAGCAGUGCCGGCUUCUCCAAUUGCAGCAGGAGUGCAUCAGGGCUGACAGGACCCUGGCGCUCAGGUCUAAGCCUCCCCCAUCAUGAGCUGUGGUACUGGCUGUCCCCCAGCCAUUUUGCUCCAAAGCUAAGCGAUCUAGAUGUGGUGGUAGACUCUGCGUGGUAGACCCAAUGACCCCAAAGCUUUUGCUAUCCAUAAGGGCUUCAGAUCCCACAAAUACAAAUUGGCUUGGAUUGGCAUCAGCAAGAAAUGAGCAACAGUCCUCAGUGUUGUGCUUUCUGGUAGCAUUUCAUGGCAAGAGUAAGAGUGUCCACACCAAUGGGUAAAACACCCGAGGCACCACCAUGGGCUGCCUGAAUGCUGACAUUGAUGCCAAAGUGGACACGGGAGUGUUUAGUUCCCAAAAGCCAACUGAGUUGUGCUGCCAUUGGGUUCUAGGGCUGCAGUAGAGGUUAAGUGUGAAGGGUUUUCAGGGGCUGGCAGGUUUCUCAAAGGGAAACAGCUGUUAACAUUGCAGGGAGAGACAGGAUGAUAACAGAUGGG
rnacentral:lncRNA from 1 species